AUUGAACGCUGGCGGCAUGCCUUACACAUGCAAGUCGAACGGUAGCACGGGGCAACCUGGUGGCGAGUGGCGAACGGGUGGGUAAUGCAUCGGAACGUACCUUUCAGUGGGGGAUAACGUAGCGAAAGUUACGCUAAUACCGCAUAUUCUGUGAGCAGGAAAGCAGGGGAUCGCAAGACCUUGCGCUGAUUGAGCGGCCGAUGUCAGAUUAGCUAGUUGGUGAGAUAAAGGCUCACCAAGGCGACGAUCUGUAGCGGGUCUGAGAGGAUGAUCCGCCACACAGGAACUGAGACACGGUCCAGACUCCUACGGGAGGCAGCAGUGGGGAAUUUUGGACAAUGGGGGCAACCCUGAUCCAGCCAUGCCGCGUGAGUGAAGAAGGCCUUCGGGUUGUAAAGCUCUUUCGGCCGGGAAGAAAUCGCACGGGCUAAUACCCUGUGUGGAUGACGGUACCGGAAUAAGAAGCACCGGCUAACUACGUGCCAGCCGCCGCCGUAACAC
rnacentral:rRNA from 1 species